rnacentral:rRNA from 1 species
GACGAACGCUGGCGGCGUGCUUAACACAUGCAAGUCGAACGAUGAAGCGGUGCUUGCACCGUGGAUUAGUGGCGAACGGGUGAGUAAUACGUGAGUGACCUACCUUUGACUCUGGGAUAAGCCUGGGAAACUGGGUCUAAUACCGGAUACGACCAAUCUCUGCAUGGGGUGUUGGUGGAAAGCGUUGUGGAGUGGUUUUAGAUGGGCUCACGGCCUAUCAGCUUGUUGGUGAGGUAAUGGCUUACCAAGGCGACGACGGGUAGCCGGCCUGAGAGGGUGACCGGCCACACUGGGACUGAGACACGGCCCAGACUCCUACGGGAGGCAGCAGUGGGGAAUAUUGCACAAUGGGCGCAAGCCUGAUGCAGCGACGCCGCGUGAGGGAUGACGGCCUUCGGGUUGUAAACCUCUGUUAGCAUCGAAGAAGCGAAAGUGACGGUAGGUGCAGAGAAAGCGCCGGCUAACUACGUGCCAGCAGCCGCGGUAAUACGUAGGGCGCGAGCGCUGUCCGGAAUUAUUGGGCGUAAAGAGCUUGUAGGCGGUUGGUCGCGUCUGCUGUGAAGGCCGGGGCUUAACUCCGGUUUUGCAGUGGGUACGGGCUAACUAGAGUGCAGUAGGGGAGACUGGAAUUCCUGGUGUAGCGGUGGAAUGCACAGAUAUCAGGAGGAACACCGAUGGCGAAGGCAGGUCUCUGGGCUGUAACUGACGCUGAGAAGCGAAAGCAUGGGGAGCGAACAGGAUUAGAUACCCUGGUAGUCCAUGCCGUAAACGUUGGGCACUAGGUGUGGGGGACAUUCCACGUUUUCCGCGCCGUAGCUAACGCAUUAAGUGCCCCGCCUGGGGAGUACGGCCGCAAGGCUAAAACUCAAAGGAAUUGACGGGGGCCCGCACAAGCGGCGGAGCAUGCGGAUUAAUUCGAUGCAACGCGAAGAACCUUACCAAGGCUUGACAUGCAUUAGAUCGCGUCAGAGAUGGCGUUUCCCUUCGGGGCUGGUGUACAGGUGGUGCAUGGUUGUCGUCAGCUCGUGUCGUGAGAUGUUGGGUUAAGUCCCGCAACGAGCGCAACCCUCGUUCUAUGUUGCCAGCGGUUCGGCCGGGGACCCAUAGGAGACUGCCGGGGUUAACUCGGAGGAAGGUGGGGAUGGCGUCAAAUCAUCAUGCCCCUUAUGUCUUGGGCUUCACGCAUGCUACAAUGGCCGGUACAGAGGGUUGCGAUACUGUGAGGUGGAGCUAAUCCCUUAAAGCCGGUCUCAGUUCGGAUUGGGGUCUGCAACUCGACCCCAUGAAGUCGGAGUCGCUAGUAAUCGCAGAUCAGCAACGCUGCGGUGAAUACGUUCCCGGGCCU